AAUGAAUUGUUGAUUUUGGCGGGGGUUUGGUAUUGAGAAUGAGUUCGUAUAUGGGUCUAUACAUACCCGAAUUCCUCUUGAUUCGGAUCCAUUAGAAACAAAAGAACCCCUUAUCCCUCUUUUGCAGAAACCCUAGCGUCAAAAUCUCUUAGCCAAUCUCUAAGCCAAUUCCUUCUUCUUCCCUUCAAUGCACAGCGAUCUACAAGAUGAUAAAGGCGUUUGGUUUAUGAUGUGCUUUUGAAGCAGGCAACUUUAGUUAAAGAUCAAGUUAUUGAGGCUAAACUAGAUAUUAUGCUUCUUUAAAUAGUUGGGUUAUUGAGUGAAUCUUUUGGUCUUUUGACAGAAGUGAAGAAGUUUGUUCAGAGUAUGCCAAGACACUCUAUUUAGAUGAUGUUGCUUCAGUUGCACUCAUUCCAACUCCAGUUUCAGUUUCAACAAAUCCAAAGUGGCUACUGAACUCGCAUUAAAAUACAUUACACUUAGACCUUUCAGCUGGGAUCAAGAUACUGACAAAGUCAAGGGUAAUACCAACGGUUCUAGGAACAAAACCAGAAUUACUCAGACAAUUUAUGUGUUCUUUUGAACGAAGAUAGAAUCUUGAUUAUAAAAAAGAACUCCAAAUCUAAUGAAUCUGUAUGGUUUCUUGAGAAAAUUACAUGGUUGGGUAUUUGAAGAAUGUUAAACAUCUAAGCGCGACACGCAUGACAGCCGCGCAGUUGACGAAGAAAAAAUUGGGAUGGGCGACGAGCGAUAAUUUCAACGAUUGUGGCGUAUUUGCUAUGAGGCACAUGGAGAUGUACAAAGGGAGUGAUGUCGAGUUUGAAUGCGGUUUUAGUACGCAAAAAAAUAUUCAAGACAUGCAAUUGCAAAACCUGAGGAUGAAGAUUGCAACAAAACUGUUACUAUCAGAGGCGAACGUGUACAAGACAACGGUUAUGUACCUCGCAAGAAAAGCAAUACAAAAUUUGGGAGAUGAAAGAAUGAGGAAAUUGUUGAAAGAAGAGAGAGCAAAACAAGAAAAAUGCUGGAACACUCUUAGCAAAUGGAAGAAUGGGGAUAAAGUUUGAGGGUAGAAGUUCAUGACACGUAGGUAGUAUUUCUAGUUAAUUAGUGAUAUUUGAACAUUAAACUGAUAUGUUGGAUUGUUUUGUUUGGUUAGGCAUGUUAGAUGGUUGUGUUAGGAAGGUAACAAGUUGGUACAGUUAUGAUGCAUGUUACAGUUUUGGUUAGUUGUGGUUGGAAUUAGAUAAUGGUGUUACUAAUA